rnacentral:misc_RNA from 1 species
GAUGAAGAACGCAGCGAAAUGCGAUAAGUAAUGUGAAUUGCAGAAUUCAGUGAAUCAUCGAAUCUUUGAACGCACCUUGCGCUCCUUGGUAUUCCAAAGAGCAUGCCUGUUUGAGUAUCAUUAAAUUAUCAACUGUACCAAUUUGGUUGCAGAUUGGAUGUGGGAGAUUUUGCAGGCUUUUGAUUUCUCUUUGAGAAAACGGUCAGCUCUCCUGAAAUAUAUUAGCAGUGCCUUUGUUGGUUCAUUAGGUGUGAUAAUUUAUCUACAUCUUCACAUGGUACCUUCAUUUGUGUAAAGGUCAUAUUGCUUUUAAUUGUCUUUGGACAUAAAAAAAAAAAAAACAUAUAAUUGUAUGGAAAACUUGAUCUCAAAUCAGGCAGGACUACCCGCUGAACUUAAGCAUAUCAAUAAGCGGAGGA